ensembl:lncRNA
CUCAGAUGACUGUUGUUAAUAAUUCUGUGUAGUUCACAACCUUUGUAACCGGCUCUGGCUCCAUUUCCCUAAGUGUCUCAGCCGGCAGCUACUGGGAGAUGUGCAAAAACAGAGUCUUUGGAUUUUCACUUUUCAUGGCAGAAAUGAAUACUUUGAUUCCCUGCAUGAGUAACAUGUACUUUAUAACAGCUCAAAAUGGAGCUGUAGCAAAGCUUCCUGACCUGACAAGACAUACCUAAGUUUUCACCUAGCAGAGAAUUGUAUAUUGUAUUUCAUUGAAGUAGAAGAUGGUAGUGAUUCCUCAUCAGCCCCCUCACUGUGGAGGGCAAGAGUAUCAACC